CUGGAGGUAUCAGAAGUGCGAAUGCUGACAUAAGUAACGAUAAAGCGGGUGAAAAGCCCGCUCGCCGGAAGACCAAGGGUUCCUGUCCAACGUUAAUCGGGGCAGGGUGAGUCGACCCCUAAGGCGAGGCCGAAAGGCGUAGUCGAUGGGAAACAGGUUAAUAUUCCUGUACUUGGUGUUACUGCGAAGGGGGGACGGAGAAGGCUAUGUUGGCCGGGCGACGGUUGUCCCGGUUUAAGCGUGUAGGCUGGUUUUCCAGGCAAAUCCGGAAAAUCAAGGCUGAGGCGUGAUGACGAGGCACUACGGUGCUGAAGCAACAAAUGCCCUGCUUCCAGGAAAAGCCUCUAAGCAUCAGGUAACAUCAAAUCGUACCCCAAACCGACACAGGUGGUCAGGUAGAGAAUACCAAGGCGCUUGAGAGAACUCGGGUGAAGGAACUAGGCAAAAUGGUGCCGUAACUUCGGGAGAAGGCACGCUGAUAUGUAGGUGAAGUCCCUCGCGGAUGGAGCUGAAAUCAGUCGAAGAUACCAGCUGGCUGCAACUGUUUAUUAAAAACACAG
rnacentral:rRNA from 1 species